rnacentral:rRNA from 1 species
AAAUUGAAGAGUUUGAUCAUGGCUCAGAUUGAACGCUGGCGGCAGGCCUAACACAUGCAAGUCGAACGGUAACAGGAAGAAGCUUGCUUCUUUGCUGACGAGUGGCGGACGGGUGAGUAAUGUCUGGGAAACUGCCUGAUGGAGGGGGAUAACUACUGGAAACGGUAGCUAAUACCGCAUAACGUCGCAAGACCAAAGAGGGGGACCUUCGGGCCUCUUGCCAUCGGAUGUGCCCAGAUGGGAUUAGCUUGUUGGUGGGGUAACGGCUCACCAAGGCGACGAUCCCUAGCUGGUCUGAGAGGAUGACCAGCCACACUGGAACUGAGACACGGUCCAGACUCCUACGGGAGGCAGCAGUGGGGAAUAUUGCACAAUGGGCGCAAGCCUGAUGCAGCCAUGCCGCGUGUAUGAAGAAGGCCUUCGGGUUGUAAAGUACUUUCAGCGGGGAGGAAGGGAGUAAAGUUAAUACCUUUGCUCAUUGACGUUACCCGCAGAAGAAGCACCGGCUAACUCCGUGCCAGCAGCCGCGGUAAUACGGAGGGUGCAAGCGUUAAUCGGAAUUACUGGGCGUAAAGCGCACGCAGGCGGUUUGUUAAGUCAGAUGUGAAAUCCCCGGGCUCAACCUGGGAACUGCAUCUGAUACUGGCAAGCUUGAGUCUC